UUUUUUUUUUUUUUUUUUAAUGAUUUUCGCCCGGCCGUCGAAACCUCUAGGCUCCUUCAGCUCGGAGACUGCCGCAGCCCUGAGCAUCCCUCAGAUGCCUCUUCCUGCUCUAACCCAAUCAGGCCCCACACAGUUUUGCCAUUUUUAAUUAGAACCUGCGCUUGCCAAGGACCAGGGCCAGGGGGGCUGGUUUCUCGGAAUAUCAAUCAUUUGGAGUUUGGAAGUGUCCUGGAGAUACAUGUAGACUUAGCUCGAGAGCAGCAUUCACCGUUAAAAAAUGAAACACAACACACCUCCUUCCUCCUGGCAACUCUGCAACCCCUUUCGGGAACCACCAACCCCUCCUCCGAAGUACCAAAACACAUCAGCUGGCCCUUUCUCGAUUUUCAAUCAGUAAGUCUAAAAAUCCAAACCGGAGGCGCCAGGAAUCACAUANNNNNNNNNNNNNNNNNNNNNNNNNNNNNNNNNNNNACACCCUCCAAGCGCCCCUCCAAGCCCCGCUCCAAGACCUCCACUUGGUCUUAUUGCCCCAAUUCCCCUGCUUCGUAGCUUUCCGAGGGGGAGGAUUCAACCCAGUUCCUUUCAACGACAUCCCCGUCGCCUACCUCCUCCCUGCCCCAGACCUCCAGCUCUCUCAAGCGACGCAAGUAUUUGCCAAAGCAGAGAUGCGUACGAGAAACACCAGAUUUGUUUUUUUAAAAAAAGCGAAGGGGCGCCCGUUUCCCCAGCCGCCAACAUCCUCUUUCCAUCUUUUAUCAUCAUUGAGGAAAUGAGGGACGGAGCGAGAGACCCGCAUCUUGCCCGGUCUCCCCCUGCCCCAAUUCUACUAGAGCCAAAGGAGAUGGGGAGAAGAAGAAGGGUGAGAGGGGCGGGGGCGACGAGAAGAAAGGAAAGAACCUCUCACCGGUGACUUGGAGAUGUGCGCUGAGCAGGGUAGCUCCGAAGAGUACAAAAGCCAGCUUGGGUACCCAAACACAUCCAAGACUANNNNNNNNNNNNNNGCCAACACCUUCGGGGCCGGGGGUCCUGGGCAGCGGCAACACUCACACACAUGCACUCACACACGCGUGUACACAUGCACACACCACACACAAACACACGCGCGCGCCGAGCCCCUUCGGCUUCCUCCUCCUCCUCGUCGUCGUCCUCCUCCACCUCCCCUGCGCCUCUUCUGCCUCCGAAGCCUUCUUCCUGGUCCACUGGCAGAAUCAGCAGCAAAAAGAGGGAGCAAAAAGUUCCAUUGGGUCCAAGAGAUGUCAAGCCCCAGUAAAACCUCGGGAAACUAACUCAAGGAAACAGAGGGAACCGGCGGCGGAGCGAAGGCAGCUCUCCGCGGGGCUGGAAAAGCAUCAAUACACAGGAUAUCCAGAAGGGACCAAGAGGAGACGCGAAGCGAUCCUGUGGCUGGGCUGUGCAUCAAAAGGUUGGGGCUGGUUCCCUGUCCUCGGCCGGGUAAAGUUGAAGAGGAGAAUCCAUGGGCGAAAGCUGGGGAUGCUGCUCGUUUUUCCUCCAAGCGCGGAGGGAACCCAGGGACGAGAGGCCGGGGCUGCAGGCUGGAGCGCGCUCACUUGUUACUGGGGUGUCCGCUGGAGAUGUGUGAGCUAGGAGUUGGAGCCGUACGUACUAUCCAUUGAUCCGGAGAAGUGGAGGGCUGGAAGGGAAAAUGUGGAGACCGGAGGGAAACGAACUGGAUCAGGCAAAGAUUCCACGGGGAGGAGGGUGGGGGCUGAGAGAUGCUGGAGGGGAAAAAAAAAGAAAAGAAAAGCGGUCGGAGGAGGCUUCCAGCAGCUGCAUUCGCCGGGUCUACAUAUCAAUGAGCAGGGAUGCCCUCUGUGGGCAAAGCGUGGGAAGUCACUUUUGUCAAUGGGUCUGGCAAAUACCAUGAGUGUCUGGCCGAGGGGCGGGGGGAGCGGCGUUUGCAGCUAUCUCUUUUGACAUUCAAUCUUUGGGAAAUCAUUUUUGACUGUAAAAUCUAGGCAGGUAUUUAGGCUGAGUCAGGGGGGCAGAGUGUUUCCUUCCUUCUCUGCCUGCAUUAUUUAAAAAUAGAAUGUUUCCUUGGGGGAAAAAAAUCACUUAAUCCAACUCCCUUCUGGGGAGGGUGAAAUUGACAUACAAGGGACAAAUACCAGUCUGCUCUUUCCUGACAAAGCAGCUAGGGUCCUCUUUUUGUAAGAUGUCUUAUUUCACCUGUGUUCUCUCUUCUGGAGACAGGAUUCAAUGCUUUAUUCAACCAAUUUUAAAGCAUUUACCAUGUUCCAGGUACCCUGUUAGCUUCCAGGAAAUAGAAGAGUGAAGUUUAAUAAGACUCAGCUUCUAUCCUCCAGGGGUUCAUGAUCUGUUGGGAGAGUGGUGUUAAGUGGAUAAUUAUGAAGCAGCAUGAUAAAUAUGAUGGUCUGUGUAAUGAGGAGAAGGUCUGGGAUAACAAGAGAGGGACUUCUCCAGUCCCUGAGUCAUAAAAUGAAGCCAACUAAAUGCAUACACACAGCAUGAAGUUUUGGAAGGCUGAUCAGUGGAGCCUUUUCAGGCAUUGAGCUGACUUUCUUUGCAAUUUUCUCUCUACUGCAGGACCUCAAGUUCUUUCGAGAAGAAGGACUUUGCACCCUCACAGAUGUAGCAGGAAAGGUGGAAGUGUUAGUCGCUCAGUUGUGUCCAGCUCUUGACGAUCCCAUGGACUGUAGCUGGCCACACUCCUCUGUCCAUGGAGUUCUCUGGGCAACAACACUGGAGUGGGUAGCCAUUCCCUUCUCCAGGGGAUCUUCCCACCAGGGAUGGAACCCAGGUCUCCUGCAUUGCAGGCAGAUUCUUUACCACCUGAGCCACCNNNNNNNNNNNNNNNNNNNNNNNNNNNNNNNNNNNNNNNNNNNNNNNNNNNNNNNNNNNNNNNNNNNNNNNNNNNNNNNNNNNNNNNNNNNNNNNNNNNUGAUUCAUGGGGUUGCAAAGAGUCGGACACGACUGAGCGACUGAACUGAGGCUGCAGCCUGGGAGACAGCACCUCAGAUAGCUCUGAGACGCUGCUCCAAGGCUCUGCUUUUUUAUGUCAUCUGAUACUAAACGAAAAGUGGUAUUUGCAUCUAAAAUGAAACAAAUUGAGAGGGAAUAUGAUUUUAAACCUUAAAGGAAAGUGAAUUGAAAGUCGCUCUGUCCUGUCUGACUCUUUGUGACCACCAUGGACUAUACAGUCUGUGGAAUUCUCUAGGCCAGAAUACUGGAGUGAGUAUCCUUCCCCUUCUGCAGGGGGUCUUUCCAACCCAGGGAUCAAACCCAGGUCUCCUGCAUUGCAG
ensembl:lncRNA